AUGAGAGCUGAGGGUUGUGCUCAUGCACUUGGGAGUUUGCACAUGGGUUUGGCGUUUGCAGGUGCGCUUGGGGGUCUGCAGUGUGUUUGCAGUGUGUGCACUUGGAGUUUGCACGUGGGUUUGGGGUUUGCAGGUGCACUUGGGGUCUGCAUCGUGCUUGCAAGGGGUGCUCAGAGUGUGCACUCGGAGUUUGCACGUGGGUUUGGCAUUUGCAGGUGCACUUGGGGGUCUGCAGUAUGUUUGCAACCUGUGCUUGGGUUGUACACGUGCACUUGGAUUUUGCACGUGGGUUUGGCGUUUGCAGGUGCAUUUGGGGUCUGCAGAGUGUUUGCAACGUGUGCUCAGGGUGUGCACUUGGAGUUUGCACGUGGGUUUGGUGUUUGCAGGUGCACUUGGGGUCUGCAGAGUGUUUGCAACCUGUGCUCAGGGUGUGCACAUGCACUCAAAGUUUGCACCUGGGUUUGGUGUUUGCAGGUGCACUUGGGGUCUGCAGCAUUUGCCAUGAGAGCUGAGGGUUGUGCUCAUGCACUUGGAGUUUGCACAUGUGUUUGGUAUUUGCAGGUGCACUUGGACUCUGCAGAGUGUUUGCAACGUGUGCUCAGAUUGUGCACUUGGAGUUUGCACACGGGUUUGGUGUUUGCAGGUGCACUUGGGAUCUGCAGCGUGCUUGCAGUGGGUGCUCCGAGUGUGCACUUGGAGUUUGCACGUAGGCUUGCAAUGUGUGCACUCGGAGUUUGCACCUGGGUUUGGUGUUUGCAGGUGCACUUGGGGUCUGCAGCAUGCUUGCAAUGGGUGCUCAGAGUGUGCAUUCAGAGUUUGCACGUGGGUUUGGUGUUUGCACUUGCCGUUGGGGUUUGCAGUGUGUUUGCAAUGUGUGCACUCGGAGUUUGCACGUGGGUUUGGUGUUUGCAUGGGCGCUUGGGGUGCGCACCGCGUUUGCAAUGUGAGCUCAGGGUGUGCUCAUACACUUGGAGUUCACGUGGAGGUUUGGCAUUUGCAUGUGCACUUGGGGUCUGCAGAGUGUUUGCAACGCGUGCUCAGAGUGUGCACUCGGAGCUUGCACCUGGGUUUGCUUUUUGCAGGCGCACUCGGGGGUCUGCAGCGUGCUUGCAAUUCUUGCUUAGGGUGUGCGUUCAGAGUUUGCACAUGGGCUUGGCAGUUGCACGUGCAAUUGCGGCCUGCGGUGUGUUUGCAAUGUGUGCACUUGGAGUUUGCACGUGGGUUGGGCGUUUGCAUGGGCCCUUGAGUCUGCAGAGUGUUUGCAACCUGUGCUCAGAGCGUGCAUGCAAAGUUUGCACGCGGGUUUGGUGUUUGCAGAGGCACGUGGGGGCUGCAGCGUGCUUGCAACGUGUGCUCGGGGUGUGCACUCAGAUGUUGCAGAUGGAUUUGGUAUUUUGCAAGUGCAUUUAG
rnacentral:lncRNA from 1 species